rnacentral:rRNA from 1 species
UGGGACUGAGACACGGCCCAGACUCCUACGGGAGGCAGCAGUGGGGAAUAUUGCACAAUGGGCGAAAGCCUGAUGCAGCGACGCCGCGUGAGGGAUGACGGCCUUCGGGUUGUAAACCUCUUUCAGCAGGGAAGAAGCGAAAGUGACGGUACCUGCAGAAGAAGCGCCGGCUAACUACGUGCCAGCAGCCGCGGUAAUACGUAGGGCGCAAGCGUUGUCCGGAAUUAUUGGGCGUAAAGAGCUCGUAGGCGGCUUGUCACGUCGGUUGUGAAAGCCCGGGGCUUAACCCCGGGUCUGCAGUCGAUACGGGCAGGCUAGAGUGUGGUAGGGGAGAUCGGAAUUCCUGGUGUAGCGGUGAAAUGCGCAGAUAUCAGGAGGAACACCGGUGGYGAAGGYGGAUCUCUGGGCCAUUACUGACGCUGAGGAGCGAAAGCGUGGGGAGCGAACAGGAUUAGAUACCCUGGUAGUCCACGCCGUAAACGGUGGGAACUAGGUGUUGGCGACAUUCCACGUCGUCGGUGCCGCAGCUAACGCAUUAMGUUCCCCGCCUGGGGAGUACGGCCGCAAGGCUAAAACUCAAAGGAAUUGA